rnacentral:rRNA from 1 species
AGAGGUUGAUCGGCCACAUUGGGACUGAGAUACGGCCCAAACUCCUACGGGAGGCAGCAGUAGGGAAUCUUCCACAAUGGGCGAAAGCCUGAUGGAGCAACGCCGCGUGGGUGAAGAAGGUCUUCGGAUCGUAAAACCCUGUUGUUAGAGAAGAAAGUGCGUGAGAGUAACUGUUCACGUUUCGACGGUAUCUAACCAGAAAGCCACGGCUAACUACGUGCCAGCAGCCGCGGUAAUACGUAGGUGGCAAGCGUUAUCCGGAUUUAUUGGGCGUAAAGGGAACGCAGGCGGUCUUUUAAGUCUGAUGUGAAAGCCUUCGGCUUAACCGGAGUAGUGCAUUGGAAACUGGGAGACUUGAGUGCAGAAGAGGAGAGUGGAACUCCAUGUGUAGCGGUGAAAUGCGUAGAUAUAUGGAAGAACACCAGUGGCGAAAGCGGCUCUCUGGUCUGUAACUGACGCUGAGGUUCGAAAGCGUGGGUAGCAAACAGGAUUAGAUACCCUGGUAGUCCACGCCGUAAACGAUGAAUACGAAGUGUUGGAGAGUUUCCGCCCUUCAGUG